rnacentral:sRNA from 1 species
UUUUAGACGUGGUUGUAGCGGCAUCCUUUUAUUUUGUUGCCUUUGUUAUAAAAAGGUAACAAAAUAAAAGAUAUAGCGGAAGACACGACUAUUU